AUGGCCUGGACUCCUCUCCUCCUCGUGCUCCUGUAUCACUGCACAGGUUCCCUCUCCCAGCCUGUGCUGACGCAGCCGCCCUCCCUCUCUGCAUCUCUGGGAGCAUCAGCCAGAUUCACCUGCACCCUGAGCAGUGGUUUCAAUGUUGGUGACUUCUGGAUAGGUUGGUACCAGCAGAAGCCAGGGAGCCCUCCUCGGUAUCUCCUGUACUACCACUCAGAUUCAGACAAGCACCACGGCUCUGGGGUCCCCAGCCGAUUCUCUGGAUCCAAUGAUGCAUCGACAAAUGCUGGGGUUUUGCUCAUCUCUGGGCUCCAGCCUGAGGAUGAGGCUGACUAUUACUGUUGUACAUAUCAUGGCAACUCAAAGUCUUUCACAGUGCUUCAGACCCAUGGGGAAGUGAGAUAA